AAGCUCGUAGUUGAAUUUCGGGGUUAGUAGGUUGGUCAUGCCUCUGGUAUGUACUGGUCUCACUGAUUCCUCCUUCCUUAUGAACCGUAAUGCCAUUAAUUUGGUGUUGCGGGGAAUUUGGACUGUUACUUUGAAAAAAUUAGAGUGUUUAAAGCAAGCUAACGCUUGAAUACAUUAGCAUGGAAUAAUGAAAUAGGACGUUCGAUCUUAUUUUGUUGGUUUCUUAGGAUUGACGUAAUGAUUAAUAGGGAUAGUUGGG
rnacentral:rRNA from 1 species